UACGAAGGGGGGCUAGCGUUUGUUUCGGAAUUGCUAGGGCGUAAGCGCGCGGCAGGCGGUUCUUCAAGUCAGUGGUGAAAGCCCGGAACUCAACUGCCGGAACUCGCCAUUGAAAACUGUAGAACUUGAGGGAUGAGAGAGGGUGAGUGGAAUUCCCGAGUGUAGAGGUGAAAUUCGUAGAUAUUGGGAAGAGCACCGGUGGCGAAGGCGGCUCACUGGCGUCAUUUCUGACGCUCAGGCGCGACAGC
rnacentral:rRNA from 1 species